CCUGCCCCGCAGGAUUGGGAUGAGUGAUGUCUGGCAGCAGAAACACCAGGUGGAAUUUCCUGACUGAGAGCUGCAUGCCAGCUGCCCUCAUCCUGACACCGAGAGGUCAAGAGGAUAAUCCUCAGUGGUACACGAGGCUAAGAGGUGUAUUGUCACCUCUGGGCAGAAGGAGCAGCACAAAGCGCUCACAGGGCGGCGGUGCUUUGGAGGAGAGCACUGGGUCAGCUGCUCAGUGCAUUGCAGGCUGCACACCGGGCUGCUUUGGCUAUCAGAUAGAAUCUAAAAGAAGACGUAGCUGCUCAGGAGCCAGCUGUGAAAGGUGAUGUCCCUCGCAGUAAUACAGCAUGGUGCUCCUUGGGCUGCAUAGGAAAUCCCUCCUACAGACAAGGGCAAGAAGAGGACAAAGAAGAAACAAUGAUAAAUCUGAGCAGAUGACAGUGAGGAUUCAGAAACAAGGGGGUGGCCCGCACUGUAACAUGAAGUAUUUGUUGGUUACAUAUAGCACAGCGCUCAGUUACGCAGGCUGUGUUAACAAGAGCUCACCAAUUCACCGGGCAUGUGUCCUAAGAGUCACGGGAGCCUGGAAAGGUGUCUGGUUCAUACGGGAUAUGUGUAUAUACAUAUAUAAAAUCUUAUGAGUUUACCGUG